rnacentral:lncRNA from 1 species
CUUCAGGCCUGAAGUGCAGCAGGUGGUGGGCGGGGCUCCAACAUAACGGGGCGGGGCCAAAAGGGCGGGGCGAGGUGACCACAGGAGGCCAAGGCACUGGCUGAGUCAAGGGAGGAUCUCCAGGCCCCAGUGAAAGAGCUGAGUUGCCGUGCUGAGAAAGAGAGGAGGGGAAGGGGCGGAGCAAGAGAGGGGAAGGGGCGGAGCCCUCAAUUUCUGGCCGUGGCUUGGAUAGAGGCCAUGGUCACAGUCAGAUUCAAGUUCCCAGAUAAGGCCAGGAAUCCCGCGUUGCCCUUGCCCUUAAGUUUGACUAUCCCAGACGGUUGUGGGGGUGGGGAGCUGCCAUGGGGCAGUACAGGUGGUGCCUGCAGCCCCUGGUUCUCCUUUCCCUCGGGGCACAUGCGGGUGUGCCGGUGGUGGUAAGAAAGGGCUGGAGAGUGACCUCUCCCAGUCUUCCUCGUUAAUUUUUUCCUGCCCAACAAUCUUUACCCUACACCUUGCCCUCCAUUGGAGCCGUGAUGGCUAUAGAUGUUUCCGGACUUUGGCCACUUUCCUGGACCUUCGGGCAGAGUUCACCCCUCCCAGCCCAGGUUAUUCCCCUAAGGAUAUGCUGCUUCGAGGCUUUGUUGCUAAACCUAGUUUCACCAGUGUUAGUCUUAUGGCAGAAAUUAUAUACAAGUUACAAGCUGCUGGUAGUAUUCAUGGAUUUAGAAAAGUGCUUCACUCCAGACUCUGGAUUACUUUGUCCCCUUUCUCCAGCAGCCUUCUGGAAGAUUCUCUCAUUGACAUGUCCUGGUUUCUCCCAGCCCUUCUCCCCUGAUUGGUAAGUUCCUCAUGGAAACUCCAUUAGGACUCAGGCCAUGUUCAGUUCUUCAUUUCUCUUUUGCUCUGCUCGGGACCUGUCAGACUUCUUUUUCUACUGUGACCCCCUGUGGUUAUCUACUUCCUCUUUUCUCCCUCUUGUCCUUUUCUAGUGUUGUAUUGCUUUCCCUCAGAAUGAAUGCUUUUUGAA